rnacentral:rRNA from 1 species
GGGAAUGGUGUGGUUUGCUUAAAAAUUUGCAAGUCGAACGAGUCCUUUCGGGGGCAAGUGGCGGACGGGUGAGUAACGCGUGAGAAUCUGGCUCUAGGUUCGGGACAACCACUGGAAACGGUGGCUAAUACCGGAUGUGCCGAGAGGUGAAAGGUUAACUGCCUGGAGAUGAGCUCGCGUCUGAUUAGCUAGUUGGUGGUGUAAGGGACUACCAAGGCGACGAUCAGUAGCUGGUCUGAGAGGAUGAUCAGCCACACUGGAACUGAGACACGGUCCAGACUCCUACGGGAGGCAGCAGUGGGGAAUUUUCCGCAAUGGGCGAAAGCCUGACGGAGCAAUACCGCGUGAGGGAGGAAGGCUCUUGGGUUGUAAACCUCUUUUCUCAGGGAAUAAGCAAGUGAAGGUACCUGAGGAAUCAGCAUCGGCUAACUCCGUGCCAGCAGCCGCGGUAAUACGGAGGAUGCAAGCGUUAUCCGGAAUGAUUGGGCGUAAAGCGUCCGUAGGUAGCAGUGUGUGUCUAUUGUUAAAGAGUUUGGCUUAACCAAAUAAAGGCGGUAGAAACUACACAGCUAGAGUGCGUUCGGGGCAGAGGGAAUUCCUGGUGUAGCGGUGAAAUGCGUAGAGAUCAGGAAGAACACCGGUGGCGAAAGCGCUCUGUUAUGCCGCAACUGACACUGAGGGACGAAAGCUAGGGGAGCGAAUGGGAUUAGAUACCCCAGUAGUCCUAGCCGUAAACUAUGGAUACUAGGCGUUGAGAGUAUCGACCCUCUCAGUGCCGUAACUAACACGUUAAGUAUCCCGCCUGGGGGAGUACGCACGCAAGUUGUGAAACUCUAAGGAAUUGACUGGGGCCCGCACAAGCGGUGGAUAUUGGGGUUUAUUUCUAUGCAUCGCGAUAUCCUUAUCCUGGUUUUGAUAUGUUGGGAUCUUGGGUGAUCUCAGAUUGCCUUCGGUGCCUUAUCACAGGUUAUUGCAUGGUUGUCAUCUGCUGUGUCUGUG